rnacentral:tRNA from 1 species
GCCCCGGUAGUUCAACGGAUAGAACAACAGUCUUCGGAACUGUGAGUGGGGGUUCGAUUCCCUCCCAGGGCA